AUUGAACGCUGGCGGCAGGCCUAACACAUGCAAGUCGAACGAGUGGCGGACGGGUGAGUAAUGUCUGGGAAACUGCCUGAUGGAGGGGGAUAACUACUGGCAACGGUAGCUAAUACCGCAUACCAUCAGAUGUGCCCAGAUGGGAUUAGCUAGUAGGUGGGGUAACGGCUCACCUAGGCGACGAUCCCUAGCUGGUCUGAGAGGAUGACCAGCCACAAGGGAACUGAGACAAGGGCCAGACUCCUACGGGAGGGAGCAGUGGGGAAGAUUGCACAAUGGGCGCAAGCCGGAGGCAGCCAUGCCGCGUGUAUGAAGAAGGCCUUCGGGUGGUAAAGUACUUUCAGCGGGGAGGCGUUACCAGCAGAAGAAGCACCGGCUAACUCCGUGCCAGCAGCCGCGGUAAUAC
rnacentral:rRNA from 1 species